AUGGAGGAAGUGAUCGGUUGGCACUGCUCGGAGGAACGGAGGGAGCGGCCUCGGUGUUGGCUGAGCAGUGAGGAACAACCGGACGGUUGCUGGUUGCGGAGUGCUUCGAGGAAGUUUGUGGGUCUCUGCAGCUCCGUAAUCUUGGUGAUGAAUUGCGGUUGUUAUCGAGUUGUUGCAGAUCAAAUUGGAGAACGAGGGAGUACUGUGCGGAUAUGUGACUGUUUAUUUGAGAGCGUGAAGUAA